rnacentral:rRNA from 1 species
CUACGGGACGCUGCAGUCGAGAAGCUUCGGCAAUGGACGAAAGUCUGACCGAGCGACGCCGCGUGAGCGAUGAAGGCCCUAGUGGUCGUAAAGCUCUGUCAGGAGGGAAUAAAUGCCUGCGGUUAAUACCCGCAGGAGUUGAAGGUACCUCCAGAGGAAGCGCCGGCUAACUACGUGCCAGCAGCCGCGGUAAUACGUAGGGCGCAAACGUUGUUCGGAUUUACUGGGUUUAAAGGGUUCGUAGGCGGGCUUGUAAGUCAGAGGUGAAAGCCAACGGCUCAACCGUUGAAUUGCCUCUGAUACUGCAAGUCUCGAGUCCGUUAGGAGAUGGUGGAAUUCCUGGUGUAGCGGUGAAAUGCGUAAAUAUCAGGAGGAACACCGGUGGCGAAGGCGGCCAUCUGGGACGGUACUGACGCUGAGGAACGAAAGCAUGGGUAUCAAACGGGAUUAGAUACCCUCGUAGUC